AUUCAGGAUGGAGCCAGAGAAAAGCGGAGGUUGCUUGCUUUAUUUAUGGCUUCAUUUCCUGUGCAAAAGUCUGGAAGACUAAGGAGGGAUCCCUCUGUACAGCCGUGAAACAGAGACAACGCCUGGCCUGUGGCCAAGUUGGCCAGGGAGGCCAAGGGCCAGCCGACAGUCUAAGAAGUCAGGAAGAGCGGAGCAGGAGGAGGGGACUAUCCCUGCCCUUGGCUGAUGGAUUUUGUGAAUGAAUGUAAGUCUGUGAUCCGUUGAGGGACGUGGCCACCUGUGACUUCUGCUCAGGGCUGCAGUGAGGCCAGGCCCCAAAUGUAGUGGGUGCUCCUGUAGUCCUCGAUUUGGGCCCCUGGAUGCAGUUCUGGGUCUUGGAAAUGAACUGAGAAUGGGUAGGGAGGGGAAUGGGGCUCAAGGAGCCACAGAGGGAAAGCUCACCCCGUGAGGUCACCACUUAUUGCUGUGUCGGGUGCUUGUCUCAUGGAUCUUCUCAAGUCCAAAGGGACGGAGUGAUUUAACCAGAAGGUGGGGAAGGAGAAGGAGAGACAGCCAGCAGAGAGCAGCCUCAGGCUCGGCCGGCUCCUUACUAGCCAGAGGGCUGGUCUCUGCCAGGUGCUGUGGACUGCGCCAAGUCACCUAAAUGGCUACUUGGUUUUCACAUCUCAGAACCCUCAGUCCCGGCCACGGGAGCUGUAGCCCAACAAGUAGGGCAAGAUUAUGCCCUUUGAGGUCCCUUCAUGGUCACUACAGAAGAUGUUGCAGGAGAGGGAAGUGUCACGUCCUGGGACCCACAGAAGUCACUGGGACAGGCCACUGCCAAGUGAGGGUCCUCAGCUUCACGCAGGAAAGAAUUCAAGAUGGAGCCAGAGAAAAGCAGAGAGGCACGUUUACUGAGAGCAAUACAUUCCGUCGGCAGAAUGUG